rnacentral:lncRNA from 1 species
AAGAAGAAGCAGCGGCGUGGGGACCUGGGAGGCAGGAGCAAGCAAGAAGAGGAAGCGGAAGCGUGCAGAUGCGGGGGGGAAGGAGAGAGGCUCCCUGGGCAAAGCACCUGUCCCGUUAGCAGGGGCACAGUCACGUUUGAGUUGAGAGCUGCCGGCGCCUUUGGUGACCAGGCUGGCGUUGUGCUGGGCGACCUCCCCGUAAGCGGGGCUCGGGUCUUUGCUGUAGUUGGCCUUUUGCCUUGCUGCUCCUUUGGCUGCCUGGGGAGCGUGGCCCCCUGUAACGGAGGGCGAGAGCCACCUCUCCGCACCUGAGUGGGAAAUGGAGCUCGCCGGACCCCAAGGCCACCCUGUAAGCAGGGUAGUGCCGUUUCCCUGCCCCUCUUCCUCCCCCGGCCCCUCGGCAUCGUUGCCUG